rnacentral:rRNA from 1 species
AACGAACGCUGGCGGCAGGCCUAACACAUGCAAGUCGAGCGCCCCGCAAGGGGAGCGGCGGACGGGUGAGUAACGCGUGGGAACGCACCCUUUGCUACGGAAUAGCCUCGGGAAACUGGGAGUAAUACCGUAUGUGCCCUUCGGGGGAAAGAUUUAUCGGCAAAGGAUCGGCCCGCGUUGGAUUAGGUAGUUGGUGGGGUAAUGGCCUACCAAGCCGACGAUCCAUAGCUGGUUUGAGAGGAUGAUCAGCCACACUGGGACUGAGACACGGCCCAGACUCCUACGGGAGGCAGCAGUGGGGAAUCUUAGACAAUGGGCGCAAGCCUGAUCUAGCCAUGCCGCGUGAGCGAUGAAGGCCUUAGGGUUGUAAAGCUCUUUCAGUGGGGAAGAUAAUGACUGUACCCACAGAAGAAGCCCGGCUAACUCCGUG